rnacentral:misc_RNA from 1 species
GACCCACAUUGGCGUGCAUCCGCACGCGCACACAAGCGUACUUACUGAAUUCGAGCUACCAUGGUGAUCCUCUCAAGAAAGUGCACAUGGGAGGUGCCACUUGUAAAGGCAAUGCCCGCCACUGGCUCCCUUUCUCUCUCUGAGGACAUCUGUACUUGAGACAUAUCUGUAUGCGUCUAUGGCAGUUCUUUAUAGUGCCCUCCGUGCCGGCCGUGCUCAGCUAAAUACACAGAUGCAUGCCGACUUUGUUGAUUGCCACGAAGAGGAGAAGCUCCUCGCCACGCGUCGCCACAAAAUACAACAGCAGCAAAAAAAAAAAAUGAGAAUAAGCGGCGGCAGCGGUCGCAUUUUUGAGGCGUUUGGUGGUGAAGAAG